GCAAAUCCCUGAACUUCUUCAUAUGGGGUGGCUUCAAUCCAUUCUCUCACCACUGAAGAAGAUUUUGCCUCGCAUGCAUUCAGACCAGAAGAAGAAGAGAGGAAUAUACAUCCUAUACGAGGAUGUGAAGUCCUGCCCAUGCGAAGACGUGCAUGUUUUGUGGUCGAUGCUUGGGGGAGUCAUCUCGCCCCCACCAUUGCAGUGCUGAAAACAACGACGGGCUCAGGAAGAAGACAACGAGGCCUCCUGGUGCUGGUCUAUUUGGUCAGGUCUGCCCAUUCCCAAGCGCUUCUCUUCUCCUCAGCAUUUGGCCUUCCAGUAUUGGCUAGCCCAAGCAAUUCUUUUGUUGUUUUUUUUUGGUAAAAAUAGAUUUAUUAUGGCAAUUAUUGUAAAUAUACCCGUGGGAAUCGGACAACAAAAUGUCUAACAAUUCAGAAGAGAUAUUUGAUAUAGCAGUCCACAAGGUAGUCUCCAUAUGAUUAGCCAUA